rnacentral:rRNA from 1 species
UAAACCGGCGCACGGGUGAGUAACACGUGAGUGACCUGCCUUUUAGACUGGAACAACUUACCGAAAGGUGAGCUAAUGCCGGAUGAGUUAUAUAAGUGCAUGUUUAUAUAGGAAAAGUUGGGGAGACCUGACGCUGAAAGAUGGACUCGCGUCCCAUUAGCUAGUUGGUAGGGUAAUGGCCUACCAAGGCGACGAUGGGUAGCCGGCCUGAGAGGGUGGCCGGCCACACUGGGACUGAGACACGGCCCAGACUCCUACGGGAGGCAGCAGUGGGGAAUUUUGCGCAAUGCUCGUAAGAGUGACGCAGCGACGCCGCGUGAAUGACGAAGGCCUUCGGGUCGUAAAGUUCUUUCGACAGGGAAGAAAAUGCCUAUAAGUAACUGUGUAUGUAUUGACGGUACCUGUAUAAGCAGCCCCGGCUAACUCCGUGCCAGCAGCCGCGGUAAUACGGAGGGGGCGAGCGUUGUUCGGAGUGACUGGGCGUAAAGAGCACGUAGGCGGUGUUGUAAGUCAUUAGUCAAAGACUAGAGCUCAACUUUAGUAAGGCUAGUGAUACUAUAAUACUAGAGUAUCAGAGAGGAUUGCAGAAUUCCUGGUGUAGCGGUGAAAUGCGUAGAUAUCAGGAGGAAUACCGUUAGCGAAGGCGGCAAUCUGGCUGGAAACUGACGCUGAGGUGCGAAAGCGUGGGUAGCA